AUUGAACGCUGGCGGCAGGCCUAACACAUGCAAGUCGAGCGGAUGACGGGAGCUUGCUCCUUGAUUCAGCGGCGGACGGGUGAGUAAUGCCUAGGAAUCUGCCUGGUAGUGGGGGACAACGUUUCGAAAGGAACGCUAAUACCGCAUACGUCCUACGGGAGAAAGCAGGGGACCUUCGGGCCUUGCGCUAUCAGAUGAGCCUAGGUCGGAUUAGCUAGUCGGUGGGGUAAUGACUCACCAAGGCGACGAUCCGUAACUGGUCUGAGAGGAUGAUCAGUCACACUGGAACUGAGACACGGUCCAGACUCCUACGGGAGGCAGCAGUGGGGAAUAUUGGACAAUGGGCGAAAGCCUGAUCCAGCCAUGCCGCGUGUGUGAAGAAGGUCUUAGGAUUGUAAAGCACUUUAAGUUGGGAGGAAGGGCAGUAAGCUAAUACCUUGCUGUUUUGACGUUACCGACAGAAUAAGCACCGGCUAACUCUGUGCCAGCCGCCGCGGUAACAC
rnacentral:rRNA from 1 species